rnacentral:rRNA from 1 species
CCUACGGGGCGCAGCAGUGAGGAAUAUUGGUCAAUGGGCUUACGCCUGAACCAGCCAAGUCGCGUGAGGGAAGACUGCCCUAUGGGUUGUAAACCUCUUUUGUCAGGGAGCAACGCCGGCUACGUGUAUCCGGACUGAUAGUACCUGACGACAAAGCAUCGGCUAACUCCGUGCCAGCAGCCGCGGUAAUACGGAGGAUGCGAGCGUUAUCCGGAUUGAUUGGGUUUAAAGGGUUCGUAGUGGAAUGCCAAGUCAGCGGUAAAAUCGCGGGGCUCAACCUCGCUCCGCCGUUGAAACUGGCGUGCUUGAGUGGGCGAGAAGUAUGAGGAAGGCGUGGUGUAGCGGUGAAAUGCAUAGAUAUCACGCAGAACUCCGAUUGCGAAGGCAGCAUACCGGCGCCCAACUGACGCUGAAGCACGAAAGCGUGGGUAUCGAACAGGAUUAGAGACCCUAGUAGUC